AACGAUGAUAUCACAUGCUUGCAGUGAUUGAUUAGUGGCGAACGGGUGAGUAACACGUGAGGAACUUGCCCAUGAGCGGGGGACAACAUUCGGAAACGGAUGCUAAUACCCCAUAGGUGGAUUGGUCGCAUGACGAAUUCAUUAAAGGUGGCUUUGCUACCACUCAUGGAUAGCCUCGCGGCGUAUUAGCUAGUUGGUAAGGUAAUGGCUUACCAAGGCAGUGAUACGUAGCCGACUUGAGAGGGUGAUCGGCCACACUGGGACUGAGACACGGCCCAGACUCCUACGGGAGGCAGCAGUAGGGAAUCUUCCACAAUGGGUGCAAACCUGAUGGAGCAAUGCCGCGUGAGUGAAGAAGGUCUUCGGAUCGUAAAGCUCUGUUGUUAGAGAAGAACACGUGCUAGGUAACUACUAGCGCCUUGACGGUAUCUAACCAGAAAGUCACGGCUAACUAC
rnacentral:rRNA from 1 species